UCCGGUUUAACACCGGCGGUCUCCCUAGAGUGCCCAACUAAAUGAUGGCAACUAGGGACAAGGGUUGCGCUCGUUAAGGGACUUAACCCGACAUCUCACGAUACGAGCUGACGACAGCCAUGCAGCACCUGUCUCUCGGCCCCCGAAGGGGAGAUCCUACUUCUAGGACUGUCCGAGGAUGUCAAACCCAGGUAAGGUUCUUCGCGUUGCAUCGAAUUAAACCACAUGCUCCACCGCUUGUGCGGGCCCCCGUCAAUUCCUUUGAGUUUUAACCUUGCGGCCGUACUUCCCAGGCGGGGUACUUAAUGCGUUAGCGUCGGCACUGCAGGGGUCAAUUCCUGCAACACCUAGUACCCAUCGUUUACAGCGUGGACUAC
rnacentral:misc_RNA from 1 species